rnacentral:rRNA from 1 species
UCAAAGAUUAAGCCAUGCAUGUGUCAGUACAAACUAAAAUAAAGUGAAACCGCGAAUGGCUCAUUAAAUCAGCUAUGAUUCCUUGGAUCUGUACACCCAGUUUCCUUGGAUAACUGUGGUAAUUCUAGAGCUAAUACAUGCACAUAUAGUCCCUAACCUUACGGGAAGGGCGCUUUUAUUAGUAUCAAAACUGGUCGGGCUUCGGUCCGUAAAGCCACUAGUGAUGACUCUGGAUAACUUUUAGCUGAGCGCACGGUCUUUGCACUGGCGCCGCUUCUUUCAAGUGUCUGCCUUAUCAGCUUUCGAUUGUAGGUCAUGUGCCUACAAUGGCUAUAACGGGUAACGGGGAAUCAGGGUUCGAUUCCGGAGAGGGAGCCUGAGAAACGGCUACCACAUCUAAGGAAGGCAGCAGGCACGCAAAUUACCCACUCCCGGCACGGGGAGGUAGUGACGAAAAAUAACGAUGCGAGACUCAUCCGAGGCCUCGCAAUCGGAAUGAGUACACUUUAAAUCCUUUAACGAGGAUCAAUUGGAGGGCAAGUCUGGUGCCAGCAGCCGCGGUAAUUCCAGCUCCAAUAGCGUAUAUUAAAGUUGUUGCGGUUGGAGUGGAGCCUGCGGCUUAAUUUGACUCAACACGGGAAACCUCACCAGGCCCAGACACUGGAAGGAUUGACAGAUUGAGAGCUCUUUCUCGAUUCAGUGGGUGGUGGUGCAUGGCCGUUCUUAGUUGGU